rnacentral:rRNA from 1 species
UACAGAGGUCUCAAGCGUUGUUCGGAUUCAUUGGGCGUAAAGGGCGCGUAGGCGGCGAGGUAAGUCGGGUGUGAAAUCUCAGAGCUCAACUCUGAAACUGCACUCGAUACUGCUCUGCUUGAGGACUGGAGAGGAGACUGGAAUUCACGGUGUAGCAGUGAAAUGCGUAGAUAUCGUGAGGAAGACCAGUGGCGAAGGCGGGUCUCUGGACAGUUCCUGACGCUGAGGCGCGAAGGCCAGGGGAGCAAACGGG